rnacentral:tRNA from 1 species
GGGCGGUUAGUUCAGUUGGCUAGAACGGUUGAUUUACAUUCAACAGGCCACAGGUUCGAGUCCUGUACCGCCCACCA